GCGCCCGUAGCUCAAUUGGAGAGAGCGCCGGACUACGAAUCCGGAGGCUGGAGGUUCGACUCCUUCCGGGCACGCCA
rnacentral:tRNA from 1 species